rnacentral:rRNA from 1 species
UGGGGAAUUUUGGACAAUGGGGGCAACCCUGACCCAGCAACGCCGCGUGAAGGAUGAAGUAUUUCGGUAUGUAAACUUCGAAAGAAUAGGAAGAAUAAAUGACGGUACUAUUUAUAAGGUCCGGCUAACUACGUGCCAGCAGCCGCGGUAAUACGUAGGGACCAAGCGUUGUUCGGAUUUACUGGGCGUAAAGGGCGCGUAGGCGGCAUGACAAGUCACUUGUGAAAUCUCUGGGCUUAACCCAGAACGGCCAAGUGAUACUGUCGCGCUAGAGUGCAGAAGGGGCAAUCGGAAUUCUUGGUGUAGCGGUGAAAUGCGUAGAUAUCAAGAGGAACACCUGAGGUGAAGACGGGUUGCUGGGCUGACACUGACGCUGAGGCGCGAAAGCCAGGGGAGCAAACGGGGAUUAGAUACCCGCGUAGUCCCUGAGCGGGCUGGCAAGGCGCAU